AUUGAACGCUGGCGGCAGGCCUAACACAUGCAAGUCGAGCGGAGCGGCGGACGGGUGAGGGAUGCCUAGGAAUCUGACUGGGAGUGGGGGAUAACGUCCGGAAACGGGCGCUAAUACCGCAUACUAUCAGAUUAGCCUAGGUCGGAUUAGCUAGUUGAUGGGGUAAAGGCUUACCAAGGCGACGAUCCGUAACUGGUCUGAGAGGAUGAUCAGGCACACUGGAACUGAGACACGGUCCAGACUCCUACGGGAGGCAGCAGUGGGGAAUAUUGGACAAUGGGCGAAAGCCUGAUCCAGCCAUGCCGCGUGUGUGAAGAAGGUCUUCGGAUUGUAAAGCACUUUCAGUUGGGAGGCGUUACCCACAGAAUAAGCACCGGCUAACUUCGUGCCAGCAGCCGCGGUAAUAC
rnacentral:rRNA from 1 species